GCCUAGCAACAGCGCGAUAUCGCGCGCAAGAAACGCGUGCGAAAAUGGCCCUCGAGCUCGUCCGCGAAAAUCGAGGAGGACGAGACGAAGAGACGAGACGUCGAGGAGACGAGUCUGAAAUCCGCGGACAACGGAGCACGUUGCGAAUGAAUGUUUCUCCUCCCGAAAGAGAAAAUUGCGACGCGCACGCGAAACGUCGUUUCGUCACGAGACGUUUACUCUCGGGUCUCGGAGUCGUCUCGGCGUUUUCCCUCGUCCAGGGGACGAGAUCUCUCGCGGAGGACUCUCGUCUCCCUCACGAGGAAGAAUCGCCGGUAUCCGGUGACAUCGAUGGCACGGUGCCACGAUGCUCGGAUCCGAUACGGAGUAUCAGUACUCACCCGACGAGACGGUCCUCUCGAGGAAUUGGAUCAGCUGCAACGUCGUUGGAUCCAUCUGCAUGGUUAAUAGCAAAUCGAUUCUCGAUUUACGGGGCGAUUCGUCACGAGUCCCGCGAUCGUCGACGGGAGGGUAUAAGAAAGUUCACGCCUGUUCCCUGAUACGAAAGUUCUCGGCGCGACCGGCGGAUAUCCACAUGUAGCCACCACCGACUCAACUGCCUUCGACUUUCCCCCUACCCUGCGCAGCCACUUCCUGUGCCUGGCGGCCCGUUCGCUUCCUCUUCCUCGCACCGGCGCGAUUAAUCGUCUCCUCUCUCUCUUACUCUCUUUCGCCUCGUCGCUUCCUUCGCACGCGACGUGCGCGUAGGGAUAUCCGCACCCUUCGAUAUUCACGUGCCCGAAUUUAUUUCGGAGUCGCGAUUACGCGGGCUGAAAAAACGAUUCCGCGCGAAAAACGAUACGUGAUUUACGCGAUGACAGUUCCGGACGCGAAAUUAACCUCGUGUUUCUCCGUUCGCGGUCGUGUUGUGUUUCCACGAGCGCGGACUACUUUCUCGGAGCGUGCUCGUUGCCAGGCAACGCGCAUGCGUCAGUCGAUGCGCGCGUCACCUGGCAACGCUCGCCAGCGGCCUCAUUGGCUACGCGUCUGUGCGCAAGUUCGGACCGUUGACGUUGGUGGGUCUUUCGAUUUGAGAUGCGUGUUUUUCAAAUCCGUGAAUCCGGGGAUUUUAUCGGCAAAAUUUCGGAUGACGUCGAUCGAGGUCGUCAACAGAUUGUAGAAUUGUUGAAUCUUCUCCGCCUCGGUCAUCGGGGGAUCGCCCGGUCUCGGUUGUCGAUAUUGCGAAUAAUCGAGACUCGCCUUGUCCGGCGUUGUAUCCAAAUGGGCACGAACCAGAGCUGUGAUCAAGGAAACCGGCGGACUCGGCGGAGAUUCCUGCGGUGACUUGGGCUUUGAAGGCAAUCUGCCUCGCCGACCUUUCAGAGAAUCUGUUCUAACAACCUGCGCAGCAAUUAAAUAAUGCACUUCUGGAACCGGCAGAACUGGCAGCGAUUUCGCCGGCGCUUGUCCACCGGGCAAGCCUUCUCGGCCAAACACACGUACUUGGAGCCUUUCUGCACGGUCCUUUUGAAAAAGCCCUUGCAGCCCUCACAAGUACGCACGCCAUAGUGUUGGCAGGCCGCGGUAUCGCCGCACACGGCGCAGAGCUGACUCGGGCUCGGGGGCGCGCGUUCACCACUGGUACCGCUUCCGGGCGACGGCGAACUGACGGUGGAGCUCGCGGUGCCGCUACCGCGCGGCUUCGGGGACUCUGUGCUCCCACUACUGUUAACACGACACAGGACGUGCAUUGAUCUAUAACCCGUCACUAGUCAGAACAGAGAUUCUCUUAAAAAAACUGUCGCGUCUCGUGUCCUCGUGAAACGUGUGAUACAGGUCACAUAUGUACGCGGCGAUACAGAAAGUAUUCACACAAUAUUUUCGAAUAUUUAGA